UAUAAACAGCUGGAGACCAUUGAUCUGUGUAUGUGACGGUCCAGAGAUAUCAAGAUGAUUCUGGUGACCUACCUGCUCUGUGGCUUCUUUCUUUAUAUCCAAGAUACCUGUUGUGAAAUUGUAUUGACUCAGACACCGCAAUACAUUGUGAAAUCUCCGGGAGACACUUUCACCAUUUCAUGUACGUCCAGUCAAGAUCUUUACCAUUCUGGAGCAAAAUAUAACCCUUUAGAAUGGUACCAACAAAGACCAGGACAGAUACCAAAACCUCUUAUUGUUAAAGCAACUGAAAGACAUUCUGGGGCUCCAGAGAGGUUCAGUGGAUCAGGAUCAGGAACAAAUUAUCAACUUACAAUUAAGGAAAUGAAAGAAGAAGAUGAAGGAAAUUAUUUCUGUUUUCAAUAUACGGCGUCUCCAUACACACAGUGAUACACAGCUGUACAAAAACUUCAUUCCUCUCUUUAAUUGCUGAAAGGGCU